rnacentral:ribozyme from 1 species
GAAAAUCAGAGAAACCAACUUAUUAAAAAAAAAGAAACAAAAAAGAAAUCAAUAUUGUUUCGUUUUUUUUCUCGGUUUUUUUCGACGUUCCCUCUUUUUU